AGAGCGAACGCUGGCGGCAGGCCUAACACAUGCAAGUCGAGCGCUCCGCAAGGGGAGCGGCAGACGGGAGAGUAACACGUGGGAACGUACCCUUCAGUUCGGAACAACCCAGGGAAACUUGGGCUAAUACCGAAUACGUCCGUAAGGAGAAAGAUUUAUCGCUGAAGGAUCGGCCCGCGUCUGAUUAGCUUGUUGGUGAGGUAACGGCUCACCAAGGCGACAAUCAGUAGCUGGUCUGAGAGGAUGAUCAGCCUCACUGGGACUGAGACACGGCCCAGACUCCUACGGGAGGCAGCAGUGGGGAAUAUUGGACAAUGGGCGCAAGCCUGAUCCAGCCAUGCCGCGUGAGUGAUGACGGCCUUAGGGUUGUAAAGCUCUUUCGCUCGGGACGAUAAUGACGGUACCGAGAUAAGAGCCCCGGCUAACUUCGUGCCAGCAGCCGC
rnacentral:rRNA from 1 species